GUUAACCGAGAAGAGUGUACCUGCAGGCCCGGAGACCCAACCACGCUCCCAGGACCGCAUUCUCAGGACCCAGGCGUUAUAACACAGCGCCUCCUGCAGGCUGGAGUUUGUUUUGUUACUUUCUGGAGACUUCACGCUACAUGGAAACAACAACUCAAAAGAGGAAGUUUCUGGAUGAAACCGUGUGUUGAAUGCUGCAGCAAUCAACAAUGCCCGAUUUGUUCUACAAGGAGGAGCUGCUGGUUAACCGGCUGGACUUUAGUUGGAUCUGUGAUCAAGUCUGAACCCGGUGAGGAAGAACUUUAAAGAACCAAGAAAACUUCACACAAACUCCAUGAUAUGAGCCGGAGAACCAAAGAAAAACUUUCUUCGAAGAUUUUAAACUUAAUUUGACAAAAAAAUGUUUGUUAGUUUAUGAACGUUGGAUAGUAGGAAUUCAUAACAGCUAGAUAAGAGAAAGUGUAAAAAAAUAAUAAAAAGUUUAAAAACUGAUAAAUAAAUGUUAAAAAAUGGGGGUAAAAUGAAUAAAAAUAGUAAUAAUUAUAACAAUAACAGCAAUACUUUUAAACAACAGCUGCCAAAUCUGACCCUGCAGGUCUGCAAUAUUUAAAGAUAAAAAGUAAUAACCUUUUUUUCAGAAAAUACUUUGAUAUGUUUGUGUUUGCAUCAUUAAAAACCGACCAUUAUGCUCAGUAGUUUUACUUUCUUUUAUCUUUUAUGAAUGUUAUUGCUGACUGCUUUAUAUGCUGUCUUUAAUUUUGUUCUCAGUUUGCCUAAUUUCCCUUUUUUAUUCAGUCUUUAAUUGUUGGUGCCCUAAAGGAGUUGUGUUAUAUCAAAUAAAUAAAGCUUCAUUCAUUCAUUGUAAACGUGCUCUGCGAUCUAAAAAUCAAAAGAAAAGAAUCUUAAAAUGUGUCAUAUUUUAAAUGGAUAAAGUUCCUGAGCAAUCUAAGCAAAUAUGCCUUAAUAGAUAAAUGUUAAAAUGAUUGAAGCCAAUCACCUAAAAAAACCUUUUUGACCCUGAAGCAUCCAAGGGGUCAAAUUUGGAUCCUAUUUUUUAUUUAAUUUCAUUUCUCUUUUCUUAUGGUUUGGUUGCUGUUAAAACUUCAAAAGGCCAAAAGAAAAUCACUUUUGGGUUCUCCUGAGGUAAAAAAAUCAUUUAAAUAUAUUUACUAAAGUUCACAACAGUGCACAGCUUGUUAAAAGUCUCAAUAUUAUAUUUUCAUGACAUAUAAACAUUUUUUCUCUUGCACAUGUGAUUCAAAGAAGAAAAGUGAUUGCAUAACGGUCUUAUCUGUAAAAAGGUUUGGUGUUACAAUCUCAUCAGUUCAACGAUAGUGGGAAUCGUUGUUCCAAAUGGCCGCUAUCAGUCUUUCUAAGAAAAUGUUUGUGAAGGUUUAUUGGCUCCUCGUGUUUUCUGUCUAAGAUCUUGUUUCCGCGGAGAGAUCACAAGUGAUGUUAUUCUAGUCAUUAAAAUACUUACUUGGCUAAAACCAUCAUAUUUGUAAUGAAUAUGCGAAUAUUUAUCUUUUGAAGUGUUUGAGAAUACUAAAUAGAAACUACUAAUAAAAAAUAAAGCAAUAAUUAUUGAAAAUUUUCUUU